UCUGACACAGGUGCUGCAUGGCUGUCGUCAGCUCGUGUCGUGAGAUGUUGGGUUAAGUCCCGUACGAGCGCAACCCUUGUCCUUAGUUACCAGCACGUUAUGGUGGGCACUCUAAGGAGACUGCCGGUGACAAACCGAGGGAAGGUGGGGAUGGCGUCAAGUCAUCAUGGCCCUUACGGCCUGGGCUACACACGUGCUACAAUGGUCGGUACAAAGGGUUGCCAAGCCGCGAGGUGGAGCUAAUCCCAUAAAACCGAUCGUAGUCCGGAUCGCAGUCUGCAACUCGACUGCGUGAAGUCGGAAUCGCUAGUAAUCGUGAAUCAGAAUGUCACGGUGAAUACGUUCCCGGGCCUU
rnacentral:rRNA from 1 species